UACGUAGGGUGCGAGCGUUAAUCGGAAUUACUGGGCGUAAAGCGUGCGCAGGCGGUGAUGUAAGACCGGUGUGAAAUCCCCGGGCUUAACCUGGGAACUGCAUUUGUGACUGCAUCGCUGGAGUGCGGCAGAGGGGGAUGGAAUUCCGCGUGUAGCAGUGAAAUGCGUAGAUCUACGAAGGAACGCCAAAAGCGAAGGCAGCUCUCUGGGUCCCUACCGACGCUGGGGUGCGAAAGCAUGGGGAGCGAACAGG
rnacentral:rRNA from 1 species